UCUUUUCUUCCUUAAUAAACUCUCUGGGUUUCUCUCCCCAUCCAUGUGUCCCUGAUCCAAUUCCUUUAUCCAGGACACAGGAACCUUGGAAGUCCCAGCAGGUGCUGUCCGGACUCCGAUAGACACCUAACAGCAUCUCUGAAGCAGCUGCCUUUAUCGCUAUGGCGUCUCUAAUGAACAGCAAACGCGUGAGCAGAUUAGCAGUGGAGAAAGGUUUUCAUUAGUCCUCCAUCCCUUCUCUUCUAUGAGGAAUGUUAAUUUCUACGAGAAAUAUAUCAUUCUCUAAUCCAAACAGCAAAAAGAGAGAAACAGAAUGCAGGGGAAAAAAGGAGUAAAGAGAAAUAAAAGGGAAAAAUAAUAAAUUGGUCAUUAAACCGAAAAAGAUGCACAAGACACAAGAGAGAGGAGCAAAACUGCGCAUGUACCGCAUGGGGCUGAGGUGCAGAUGAGGGGAAAAGCAUGGGGCCUUAUCCAGGCUCCAAGAAUGAAGGAAAAGUUGUAUACCAAGGAAGAAUGCACA